GCCUCGGUAGCUCAGUGUGGAGAGCGUCAGACUGAAGAUCUGAAGGUCCCUGGUUCGAUCCCGGGUCGCGGCA
rnacentral:tRNA from 1 species